GUGCUCACUUCAGCAGCACAUAUACUAAAAUUGGAACAAAACAGAGAUUAUCAUGGCCCUUGUGCAAGGAUGACACACAAAUUUGUGAAGCGUUCUGUAUUUUG
rnacentral:snRNA from 1 species